UGUGUAUGAUGACACCUCAGUAAUGCUGCAGACUCCACAGCUUGCAGUGGGGAAGCCAACCUUGGAGAGCUGAGAGUAAU
ensembl:snoRNA SNORD39 Small nucleolar RNA SNORD55/SNORD39